ACGUACACUCCUACGGGAGGCAGCAGUGGGGAAUUUUGGACAAUGGGCGAAAGCCUGAUCCAGCCAUGCCGCGUGCAGGAUGAAGGCCUUCGGGUUGUAAACUGCUUUUGUACGGAACGAAACGGCCUUUUCUAAUAAAGAGGGCUAAUGACGGUACCGUAAGAAUAAGCACCGGCUAACUACGUGCCAGCAGCCGCGGUAAUACGUAGGGUGCAAGCGUUAAUCGGAAUUACUGGGCGUAAAGCGUGCGCAGGCGGUUAUGUAAGACAGUUGUGAAAUCCCCGGGCUCAACCUGGGAACUGCAUCUGUGACUGCAUAGCUAGAGUACGGUAGAGGGGGAUGGAAUUCCGCGUGUAGCAGUGAAAUGCGUAGAUAUGCGGAGGAACACCGAUGGCGAAGGCAAUCCCCUGGACCUGUACUGACGCUCAUGCACGAAAGCGUGGGGAGCAAACAGGAUUAGAUACCCUGGUAGUCCCAUGA
rnacentral:rRNA from 1 species